UACGUAGGCAGCGAGCGUUGUUCGGAGUUACUGGGCGUAAAGGGUGUGUAGGCGGUUCUCUAAGUUUGGUGUGAAAUCUCCCGGCUCAACCGGGAGGGUGCGCCGAAAACUGGAGGGCUAGAGUGCGGGAAGGGAGAGUAGAAUUCCUGGUGUAGCGGUGAAAUGCGUAGAUAUCAGGAGGAAUACCGGUGGUGCAGACGGCUCUCUGGACCGCGACUGACGCUGAGACACGAAAAGCGUGGGUAGCAAACAGG
rnacentral:rRNA from 1 species